rnacentral:rRNA from 1 species
UACGGAGGGUGCAAGCGUUAUCCGGAUUCACUGGGUUUAAAGGGUGCGUAGGUGGGCAUGUAAGUCAGUGGUGAAAUCUCCGUGCUUAACAUGGAAACUGCCAUUGAUACUAUGUUUCUUGAAUUUUCUGGAGGUCAGCGGAAUAUGUCAUGUAGCGGUGAAAUGCUUAGAUAUGACAUAGAACACCAAUUGCGAAGGCAGCUGGCUACAGGGAUAUUGACACUGAGGCACGAAAGCGUGGGGAUCAAACAGG